rnacentral:tRNA from 1 species
GGGCUCGUAGCUCAGCCUGGCUAGAGCACUGGUCUUAUAAGCCAGAGGUCCGGGGUUCGAGUCCCCGCGAGCCCA